CCUACGGGAGGCAGCAGUGGGGAAUAUUGGGCAAUGGGCGCAAGCCUGACCCAGCAACGCCGCGUGAAGGAAGAAGGCUUUCGGGUUGUAAACUUCUUUUCUCAGGGACGAAGCAAGUGACGGUACCUGAGGAAUACGCCAAGGCUAACUACGUGCCAGCAGCCGCGGUAAUACGUAGGUGGCAAGCGUUAACCGGAUUUACUGGGUGUAAAGGGCGUGUAGGCGGGACAGCAAGUCGGAUGUGAAAACCAUGGGCUCAACCUGUGGCCUGCAUUUGACACUGUUAUUCUUGAGUACGGGUGAGGCAGACGGAAUUCCGAGUGGAGCAGUGAAAUGCGUAGAUAUUAGGAAGAACACCAGUGGCGAAGGCGGUCUGCUGGACAGCAACUGACGCUGAGGCGCGAAAGCGUGGGGAGCAAACAGGAUUAGAUACCCCAGUAGUC
rnacentral:rRNA from 1 species